UCCCCCAACCCCUCCUCCCUGACAAGCCAGGAGGCUCCAGGAGAUUCCAGGAAGCUGGCAGAGCCGGGGCUCUCGCAAAGUGGGAGGCACACGCCCAGAAGAAGGCAGGAGGAAGGCGGGACCCAGAGCACAGCAAAGACCCAGAAAGGACGAGGCGGGGGAAGAGACAUGGCCCAAAACGCUGACAGGCAGGGACAGUCCCAUAGCAGGAACAUACCAAAAACGGGAGGGGAGUAGGAUGCGGGCAUUGGAAGACGGCGAGGAAAUGGGGGAGAGGAUGAGGCUCCAGGCUGACUGUCAAGCGCAGCCCGACCCACCUCACAUCCACCCCGUUCCGUAAGCUUCCGCCACCACCUUGGCCUCAGUGUUCCCACCUGACAAACGAAGAGUUUUAAAACCACCCGGACCAACAUGUCAGUUAAUAAAAUCACCCUUCCCUUC